rnacentral:tRNA from 1 species
CAGAAAGUAGUCUAAGUUAGGACGCCAGUUUUGGGUGUUGGUAGUGGAGUUGAGCGCUCUCUUUCUGA